rnacentral:tRNA from 1 species
CCAGAUUGAUUCUCGUUUUUUAUUUCCCGGCUUAGUAUUAGAUAUAAAUAUACCUAUCGAAUCUUAGUUUAGUAAUAAAGGACA